GAUGAACGCUGGCGGCGUGCCUAAUACAUGCAAGUCGAGCGAACAGACGAGGAGCUUGCUCCUCUGACGUUAGCGGCGGGCGGGUGAGUAACACGUGGAUAACCUACCUAUAAGACUGGGAUAACUUCGGGAAACCGGAGCUAAUACCGGAUAAUAUAUUGAACCGCAUAGUUCAAUAGUGAAAGACGGUUUUGCUGGCACUUGUAGAUGGAUCCGCGCCGCAUUAACUAGUUGGUAAGGUAACGGCUUACCAAGGCAACGAUGCGUAGCCGACCUGAGAGGGUGAUCGGCCACACUGGAACUGAGACACGGUCCAGACUCCUACGGGAGGCAGCAGUAGGGAAUCUUCCGCAAUGGGCGAAAGCCUGACGGAGCAACGCCGCGUGAGUGAUGAAGGUCUUCGGAUCGUAAAACUCUGUUAUUAGGGAAGAACAAAUGUGUAAGUAACUAUGCACGUCUUGACGGUACCUAAUCAGAAAGCCACGGCUAACUACGUG
rnacentral:rRNA from 1 species